GAGCUUCCUUUGACAGCCCAUACACUUAAAUUGGCAUGAUACAGAGAAGAUUAGCAUGACUCCUGUGCAAACGCUACUCACAAAAUCAGUAGCUUUUCUA
ensembl:snRNA U6 U6 spliceosomal RNA